rnacentral:rRNA from 1 species
UACGUAGGCAGCAAGCGUUGUUCGGAAUUACUGGGCGUAAAGAGUGUGUAGGCGGUGCUCUAAGUCUGUUGUGAAAUCUCCCGGCUUAACUGGGAGGGUGCGGCGGAGACUGGAGUGCUAGAGUGUGGGAGAGGUAAGCGGAAUUCCUGGUGUAGCGGUGAAAUGCGUAGAUAUCAGGAGGAACACCUGUGGUGUAGACAGCUUACUGGACCACGACUGACGCUGAGACACGAAAGCGUGGGUAGCAAACGGG